AGUUGGAUUCACGUUUUAGACGAGCUCAGGUUCUUUGCUGUUAGCAGGUUUCUAUAGAUGCCACAGAAAGCGUGUUAUUAAGGCAGAUGAAAGGCCAAGGAACGAGUUUGCUGUGCUUGUGCAUGCCCAUGGGGUAAGCUUUCUGCCCCUCCCCCAGGUUUUUUUGGGUUUGGUGUUUUUUGUUUUUUUUUUUUUUUAAUUUUAUUGGAUCCAUCCUGCAUCAAAGUGGCUUCAAGAAGCGAGCGAGCUCCCCAGAAGGGCCCUGCCAUGGUGGUGAUGGAGCGAAACCACAAAGUGUUUCACCGCUUGUGAAGUCCCGGGCUGAUGGCUGGGCCGAGCCAAGCUGGCAGGUUCAUCUUGGGCUUCCUGCAGCCUUGUUCUUCUACCAAAAAAAAAAAAAAAAAAAAAGAAGGAAAAGGCAGCCCCCCCGCCCCUCCCCUUCUCCUCCCCGGAGCCUCCUCCACCUGCCCCGUGCACUUGCUGACUUGUGCAUUCCUCCUUCCACAUGUUAUAAAGAUUAAUCGCUCCAGUUGGAGCUCGGUGUGACUGGGCAAGGCGAGACAUUCCUCUGUUGACAUAUUGCUGCUUUUGACUAAGGGAAGCCAGAGGUUUUGAGCUCACCCCGGCCAGUCCGCAUGUGGGCAAGCUCCUCGGGGUGUUUGGCCACCUCUUGUCUCGGGCACGAAGGGGACUGAGCCCCCCCUGGGCACGACGCGGUCCCUGGCAGGAGGGAUUUCUGUUUGCAGGAUGCGCGGCUGCCUCUUGCUGUUGCAGAUCCCAUGGUUUUGCUCUGGAGACCAAAGGGACAGCCAGGUCCUUUGGUGGCGGUGGUCUGGGCAGGUUUGGAGAUCACAGAAUGAUGGAAUAGUUUAGGUUGGAAGGGACCUUAAAGGUCAUCUAGUCUAACCCCAGAUAAACAUGACUCUUUGCUUUCUGCCUCAGGAAUGGGAAAGCGUUGCUGUGCCGUAGGGCAGGAGUGGCUGCGUUUGGGCAGCGGAGAAAGCAACAUCUCUGUAGGACAGUGGGGAGCCUUGGUGGAACCAUGGUCAAGGGUCUUGGGUCUGCUGCUGCCAUGGUGGGCUGUCCUCUGGGCUGGCUUCUGCUGGCUUUGCCAGUGCUGGAGGCAGCUCUGCCUUUGUCCAUGCUUAGCGUCAUAGAGUCAUAGAACGUGUUGGGUUGGAAGGGACCUCUAAAGGCCAUCUCGUCCAACCCCCUGCAGUCAGCAGCGACAUCUGUAACUAGAUCAGGUUGCUCAGAGCCUCAUCCAGCCUGGCCUUGAAUGUCUCCAGGGAUGGGGCCUCCACCCCCUCUCUGGGCAACCUGGGCCAGUGUCUCACCACCCUCAGUGUACAGAACUUCUUCCUCAUGUCUGAUCUGAACCUGCCCUGCUCUAGUUUAAACCAUUGCCCCUCGUCCUGUCGCUACAGGCCCUUGCAAACAGCCCCUCCCCAGCUUUCCUGGAGCCCCUUUAGGGACUGGAAGGGGCUGGAAGGUCUCCCCGGAGCCUUCUCUUCUCCAGGCUGAACCCCCCCAGCUCUCUCAGCCUGUCCCCACAGCAGAGGGGCUCCAGCCCUUCAAUCAUCUUUGUGGCCUCCUCUGGACCCAGAGUCGCUGCUGGAGCUCUCAAGCACCUCACACCCUGGGGAGCUUUUGGCUGAGCGCACGUACCCUCUCUCCAGACCCAAAUCAAUCUCACAACCAUACCAGAUCUUCCUUCAGGUCCAUCCCCUUACCAUCUCCAGCCCUAAAGAGAGGAAUGUGGCUCCUGCCUUGCCCAGCUCCAACCGGGCACAGGGAGAGACGGGAGAGGCUGCGGCAGAGCUUCGGGAGAGACGAGGUUUUCCUCGGGGCUUCCUCUGGGUGUUUCUGCACCACCUCGUGCCGUCCUCUCCUCUGCACGUCGGCCCCGAGCUGGGAAGGCAGGGCUGGAGGCUGCGAGGUCAAACCUCAGAGGGACGGCUGUGUGUUGGGAAGACCAUCAUCUCCCACCUCUCAGACCAUCUCCCGCCUCUUGUGGCCUUCUGAAGACGCGCAUCACUUUGUGAAGAGCUCGGCCUCUGCGUGCAGCCGGGCGCCUGCGUUUGGAGGCAGAUAUUGCUCACGGAAGACUCCGGGGAUUUUUUUUGCAACCGUGAGAUGCGCUUGCCUCCAUCCCGCUCGUUUCCCGAUGGAGCGCUAGUUUGCAUCGCAGUUUGGGCUCAGGAUGCAAAUCCCAUGACUCCUCUCGUUAACGUGGCGAUCUGGGCCCAUGGCGGAGCUGGUAUCUCUGUGCUCGAGUGACUUGAGCAGCUCCUGUGUGUGUGUGUGAAGACAGUUACAGGGCCAGGCAGCGUUCCUGCUUCCGUGCCUUCUGUAAACACCUCGGGGGUCUAAUGCAAUUCCUGGCUGCCAUCACUCCUCUGCUCCGCUCGAGGAACUGCCUGGAAAGACGGCGAUAAUCGUACGGGUUUUGCUGGACUGAUGCGUGCUGGGACAGGCUCAGCUUGGAAAUGGGGACUGUUGGAGCCAGCGGCAGCAGGAUGACGGGAGAUGCUGCCAUUGGCCCUGCACCAGCCACAGUCCCGGGGGACUCCUCCAGCUGGGACCAAAAACCGCCUCCGCAGAGGUGGGGAUAUUUCGGGAGGUCAGCUCCUGGCUCUCCUUCUCCGGGUGACCCCAAAUGAGACCUUUGCAGCACCUCAAUCUUGGAGAAGAGGGUUUGCCGUCCACCUCUGAAGAGCUUUCAGCCACCAUCAUACCUCCACGCUGGGAGGCCCCAGCUCCUGCUCCCACACCAGGCUACGGACACCCAGAGAUGGGGGCUCCUGCCCCACGGUGCCAUCCAAACCUGCAAAACCUGGGGAAAGGAAGGGAAGGUGGCGAGUGCUGGACCAGAAGCUGUAGGGACUCGUCCACGGGGCUCUGCCCUGUCCAGAAGCAGCAGGAAUUUCUGUCCACGGCUCUGGGCCCCGAAGCGUUCCUCGCCGUGCUGCCUGUCGCCGACACCCCCGCCAUAACGCAUCCCGAACGUGGCCUCCAUGAGGGACACACACGACGACGUCCUUGCGGCGCGGUGGCUGCUGGCAGCGCGCCAGCUAGCUGGGAUUAACGCCCUGCUUGCAAGCGUGGGUGAUGCUCGGGGGCGACCUUGAAGGAACGGGAGUCUGCACCCCCGGGGCAGCGGGAUUUUGGGGUGUGGGUGGCCCCGAGCGGCUCAGCAUCGCUGGGAGCACCGGGGUUCAUGCUCUGCACGUGUGGCCGGGGCGAGCCGGCUGCGACGUCCCGGGUUGUGCUGUCUCUCCGUGCCUUCUCCAGCUCGACCGCACCGUCCUGCCCGUCCAGUCUGGGGCUCCGUGGCUAAAACCGCUCCAGGAGAAGAUCUAGGAAAAGGCCAGCCUGGUUUCACCGCCAUCUCCUCCUCCUCCUCGCGCUGAAGUCGUCGUAGUUUCAGGAACCUGCCACCUUCAAGACCUCACCCAGCUCCACCAAAACCUGGGGCCGAAAUUGUCCCAUCUCUCUGCGUUUCCCACCCAGACGCCCCGACAUGGCCACGGGGAUGAAACCUGGGAGACCCAAGGGCCG